GGAGAGGCUGUGGCUCAGCGGCAGAGCAUCUGCUCAGAAUGCAGAAGGUCCCAGGGUUCAAUCCCCGGCAUCUCCA